GAUGAACGCUGGCGGCGUGCCUAAUACAUGCAAGUCGAGCGAAUGGAUUAAGAGCUUGCUCUUAUGAAGUUAGCGGCGGACGGGUGAGUAACACGUGGGUAACCUGCCCAUAAGACUGGGAUAACUCCGGGAAACCGGGGCUAAUACCGGAUAAUAUUUUGAACUGCAUGGUUCAAAAUUGAAAGGCGGCUUCGGCUGUCACUUAUGGAUGGACCCGCGUCGCAUUAGCUAGUUGGUGAGAUAACGGCUCACCAAGGCAACGAUGCGUAGCCGACCGGAGAGGAUGAUCGGCCACACGGGGACUGGGACACGGCCCAGACUCCUACGGGAGGCAGCAGUAGGGAAUCUUCCGCAAUGGACGAAAGUCUGACGGAGCAACGCCGCGUGAGUGAUGAAGGCUUUCGGGUCGUAAAACUCUGUUGUUAGGGAAGAACAAGUGCUAGUUGAAUAAGCUGGCACCUUGACGGUACCUAACCAGAAAGCCACGGCUAACUACGUGCCAGCCGCCGCAGUAA
rnacentral:rRNA from 1 species